CAGGAGUGAACGCUAGCGACAGGCUAACACAUGCAAGUCGAGGGGCAGCAUAGAAGUAGCAAGUACUUUGGUGGCGACCGGCGCACGGGUGAGUAACGCGUAUGCAACCUACCUAUCAGAGGGGAAUAACCGGCGAAAGUCGGACUAAUACCGCAUAAAACAGGGGCACCGCAUGGUGAUAUUUGUUAAGAAAUUCGCUGAUAGAUGGGCAUGCGUUCCAUUAGGUAGUUGGUGAGGUAACGGCUCACCAAGCCGACGAUGGAUAGGGGAACUGAGAGGUUGGUCCCCCACACUGGUACUGAGACACGGACCAGACUCCUACGGGAGGCAGCAGUGAGGAAUAUUGGUCAAUGGGCGGGAGCCUGAACCAGCCAAGUCGCCGUGAAGGAAGAAGGAUCUAUGGUUCGUAAACUUCUUUUGCAGGGGAAUAAAGUGCAGGACGUGUCCUGUUUUGUAUGUACCCUGAGAAUAAGGAUCGGCUAACUCCGUGCCAGCCGCCGC
rnacentral:rRNA from 1 species